rnacentral:rRNA from 1 species
AUACAUGCAAGUCGAGCGAACUGAUUAGGAAGCUUGCUUCUAUGACGUUAGCGGCGGACGGGUGAGUAACACGUGGGCAACCUGCCUGUAAGACUGGGAUAACUUCGGGAAACCGAAGCUAAUACCGGAUAGGAUCUUCUCCUUCAUGGGAGAUGAUUGAAAGAUGGUUUCGGCUAUCACUUACAGAUGGGCCCGCGGUGCAUUAGCUAGUUGGUGAGGUAACGGCUCACCAAGGCAACGAUGCAUAGCCGACCUGAGAGGGUGAUCGGCCACACUGGGACUGAGACACGGCCCAGACUCCUACGGGAGGCAGCAGUAGGGAAUCUUCCGCAAUGGACGAAAGUCUGACGGAGCAACGCCGCGUGAGUGAUGAAGGCUUUCGGGUCGUAAAACUCUGUUGUUAGGGAAGAACAAGUACGAGAGUAACUGCUUGUACCUUGACGGUACCUAACCAGAAAGCCACGGCUAACUACGUGCCAGCAGCCGCGGUAAUACGUAGGUGGCAAGCGUUAUCCGGAAUUAUUGGGCGUAAAGCGCGCGCAGGCGGUUUCUUAAGUCUGAUGUGAAAGCCCACGGCUCAACCGUGGAGGGUCAUUGGAAACUGGGGAACUUGAGUGCAGAAGAGAAAAGCGGAAUUCCACGUGUAGCGGUGAAAUGCGUAGAGAUGUGGAGGAACACCAGUGGCGAAGGCGGCUUUUUGGUCUGUAACUGACGCUGAGGCGCGAAAGCGUGGGGAGCAAACAGGAUUAGAUACCCUGGUAGUCCACGCCGUAAACGAUGAGUGCUAAGUGUUAGAGGGUUUCCGCCCUUUAGUGCUGCAGCUAACGCAUUAAGCACUCCGCCUGGGGAGUACGGUCGCAAGACUGAAACUCAAAGGAAUUGACGGGGGGCCCGCACAAGCGGUGGAGCAUGUGGUUUAAUUUCGAAGCAACGCGAAGACCUUACCAGGUCUUGACAUCCUCUGACACUCUAGAGAUAGAGCGUUCCCCUUCGGGGGACAGAGUGACAGUUGUGCAUGCUUGUCGUCAGCUCGUGUCUUGAGAUGUGGUAGUCCCGCACGGCGCAUCCUUGAUCUUACUGCAGCAUUCAGUGGCACUC